rnacentral:rRNA from 1 species
UUGCGGUUAAAAAGCUCGUAGUUGGAUUUCUGUCGAGAACGUCGCGGUCCAGCGCUUUGCGUGAGUAUCUGUGUCCGUCUCGGCAUCCUCUAGAGGGAUCGUUGUCUGCGCUUGAUUGCGUGGAGCGGAACUCUAGACUUUUACUUUGAGGAAAUUAGAGUGUUCACGGCAGGCAUACGCCUUGAAUACAUUAGCAUGGAAUAAUAACAUAGGAGCCUCGGUUCUAUUCUGUUGGUUUCUAGGAAGUCUGAGGCAAUGGAUUAAUAGGGAUAGAUUGGGGGCAUUCGUAUCUAACGCGUCAGAGGUGGAAUUCUUGGAUUGCGUUAUGACGAACUACUGCGAAAGCAUUUGCCAAGGAUGUUUUCAUUGAUCAAGAACGAAAGUUAGGGGAUCGAAGACGCAUUAGAUACCGUCGCUAGUCUUAACCAUAAACUAUGCCGACUAGAGAUUGGAGGUCGUUUUUUUUAUGACUCCUUCAGCACCUUAUGAGAAAUCAAAGUCUUUGGGUUCCGGGGGGAGUAUGGUCGCAAGGCUGAAACUUAAAGGAAUUGACCGAAGGGCACCACCAGGAGUGGAGCCUG